rnacentral:misc_RNA from 1 species
UAUGAAGAACGCAGCGAAAUGCGAUAAGUAAUGUGAAUUGCAGAAUUCCGUGAAUCAUCGAAUCUUUGAACGCACAUUGCGCCCCCUGGUAUUCCGGGGGGCAUGCCUGUCCGAGCGUCAUUGCAACCUUCAAGCGCGGCUUGUGUGUUGGGUCUCGUCCCCCGUGGACGGGCCCGAAAGGCAGUGGCGGCGUCCCGACAUGGUGCCCGAGCGUAUGGGAAUCCUCUUCCGCUCGAAUCGGCCCAUGCGGCGCUGGUCGUAACCAAAUUUUUUACCGGUUGACCUCGGAUCAGGUAGGGAUACCCGCUGAACUUAAGCAUAUCAAUAAGCGGAGGA